GAUGACCAGCUCGUCCUUUCUUACUUGGGACCUUUGAGGUUUCAGCAUUGAAGAUCUCAUAUCCCGAGAAAAUCAUCACAGUGGGUCUUUCCUCUCCUACAUCCUGAAUAUUAUAAAGAAGAAGAGUAAUCCAUAAAAUUAAAAGUUAAAGGACAAGGAUGUAUGCACAAUUGUUCUUUUAGGACUCAGUUCAGCCCACAGAUGUCUCCACAGCUGCUCUCUAUUCCAAAGAGGAUUUUUUUUCCUUGGAAGCAGUCAUAUUAUGAGCUGACAAUCUGGAUGAUGACAUGACUUACACAAAAUUAUCGAGUGAAUCUGAUGCUUGAGAAAGGAUUGACUGUAAGGAGAAAAGUGACCUCUUGGUGAAUGAGAGACAAAUUACACAAAGGCUACUCCUACAAAAAGGAAGAUCACU
rnacentral:lncRNA from 13 species